CUUGGUCAUUUAGAGGAAGUAAAAGUCGUAACAAGGUUUCCGUAGGUGAACCAGCGGAAGGAUCAUUAGUGAAUUGAAUAUGUUAGCGGACCUCUUCGGAGUCCCUAGCAUCAAAUCAUAUCCAUAACACCUGUGAACUGUAAGGCUGUCUUGAAAACGAAAGUGAUUAGAGCGCCUGCCCAUUUUAUACAAACAUUAAAGUAACAAACGUAGUCUUAUUAUAAUCUAAUAAAACUUUCAACAACGGAUCUCUUGGCUCUCGCAUCGAUGAAGAACGCAGCGAAAUGCGAUAAGUAAUGUGAAUUGCAGAAUUCAGUGAAUCAUCGAAUCUUUGAACGCACCUUGCGCUCUUUGGUAUUCCGAAGAGCAUGCCUGUUUGAGUGUCAUGAAAAUAUCAACCUUGACUUGGGUUUAGUGCUCUUGUCUUGGCUUGGAUUUGGCUGUUUGCCGCUCGAAAGAGUCGGCUCAGCUUAAAAGUAUUAGCUGGAUCUGUCUUUGAGACUUGGUUUGACUUGGCGUAAUAAGUUAUUUCGCUGAGGACAUUCUUCGGAUUGGCCGAGUUUCUGGGACGUUUGUUCGCUUUCUAAUACAAGUUCUAGCUUGCUAGACAUGACUUUUUUUAUUAUCUGGCCUUAAAUCAGGUAGGACUACCCGCUGAACUUAAGCAUAUCAAUAAGCGGAGGAA
rnacentral:rRNA from 1 species